rnacentral:rRNA from 1 species
GAUGAACGCUGGCGGCGUGCCUAAUACAUGCAAGUCGAGCGAAAAGACGAGGAGCUUGCUCCUCUGUCGUUAGCGGCGGACGGGUGAGUAACACGUGUAUACCCUACCUAUAAGACUGGGAUAACUUCGGGAAACCGGAGCUAAUACCGUAUAACAUGCUGAACCACAUGGUUCGACAGUAAAAGACGGUCUUGCUGUCACUACUAGAUGCAUCUGGGCCGCAUUAGCUAGUUGGUAAGGUAAAGGCUUACCAAGGCAACCAUGCGUAGCCGACCUGAGAGGGUGGUCGCCCACACUGGAACUGAGACACGGUCCAGACUCCUGCGGGAGGCAGCAGUAGGGAAUCGUCCGCAAUGGUCGAAAGCCUUACGGAGCAACGCCGAGUGUGUGAAAAAGGUCUUCGGAGCGGAAAACUCGGUUAUUGGGGAAGAACAGAUUUGUAAGGAACUAUGCACGUCGUGACGGUACCUAAUCAGAAAGCCACGGCUAACUACGUG